rnacentral:misc_RNA from 1 species
ACAAGUCUCGUACGUAUUCUCUCAGGUGUCAUCGACGCCAUUCCGAACGAAAUACUUUUAAGGUCACAUUGAUCAUGGCAUUAUCUGAAUCCCAAGUACCACCCGACGCCCAGCAUUAUUUGGUGUGUGGCACUGAAGGCUGUGAGAGGAACUGCCAGUUUUACUGCAAUGACUGUCACCAACAAAUGUGUGAACAAUGCAGAGAUGAACAUCAGAAGAAUAAAAAAACCAAGAGCCAUGAAGUAGUCCCUUAUAAACAACGCAAACGACAACUACCUGUCGAGAAAUGCCAGAUCUACCCAACAAAAGAAAUGGUUCUUCUCUGCGAGGAAUGCCAAAUUCCCAUUUGUUACAAAUGCACAGCUACAGAAGAACAUCGCGGCCAUGCGUUUACUGACCUAGAAAUAGACUUUGAUGAAAAUAUUUCCCUAUGUCAUGAAGAAAUUGCAAAAAUUAGAAAUUAUUUUGAGCCAACUUCUCAAGUUUUGAAAAAAGAAAAUGCUGGCGAUGUCAAAGAAAUAAAGAAGAUUAUGGACGGCAUAAGAACGUCCAUGAAGGCUGAAGCUGAGUCUAUGAAAAAGCUCGUAGACACAGUCACAUCAGAAAAUAUAAAACAAGUCGACAAAAUUGAACAGUCAUUAUUAGAAACAUUUAACGGCCAAACUCAAAAAAUAGAUGACUACAUCACCUAUCUAGAUGAAUCAUCUACAAACAUAGAACAAAUAACAUAUGCUCUCAAAUCAGAAAGCUUUAUCAUUCGGCCUUUACCAGAGACAUCCAAACCAGUUCCACCCAUCUUUACUGCCGGUAAUUAUAGCAAGGAAGAUAUCGCCAAACUACUGGGUAGAAUAACUAUUCAAAACACUAAACCAGAGAACAGAAAAAUAAAACCCAUGGAGACUGCCUCAACACAGUUGAAACCUACAGGGAAACAAAGUAAACAAGGGAGAGAGAAAUCUGACGUGAAACGAACACUGUCUCUGUCUUCCUCCGUCACCAAGGUCAGGGAGUACACAGUACUAGUUGUUGAUAAUGUAUUUCAUAUAUCACUGGGUAAAUCAGGCAGACUCUGGGUCAGUGAUAGUAAUGGCAACUUUGUCCAAAUAGAUCUUCAAGGGAAUCAGCUACAGAAGAUACAAACCAGUGGUGGAUCAGGAAGCUACCGGCACACAGUCACACAGGACGGGGAUCUAAUCUAUACAGACAGAAACAACGUCAUCAAUAGGAUUACACAGAAUAAUACAAUCACUGAAUUCAUAAAAACAGGAGACUGGAAACCACUCAGUAUACACUCCUCCCACAUCAACGGGGACAUACUGGUGGGGAUGGAGACAGAUGAAGAGGGUAAAGUCACCAGGUACAACAAGACAGGGAUAGAAAUACAGAAACAUACAGAGAGACAACAAAGGACAGCCACUGUACAAGUAUCCACACUACAUCACAGAAAACAUCAAUGGUGAUGUCUGUGUAUCAGAUGCUAACAAACAUGCCGUAGUGGUGGUGGAUAAAUCAGGACAACACAGGUUCUCCUACACACGUCAGGGGUCAGAGUUUAAUCCCUAUGGAAUAUGUACUGAUGUACUCGGUCACAUCCUGGUGUGUGAUGAUAUCAGUGAAACAGUACAUCUCCUGGAUCAGGACGGUCAGUUCUUGUCUCUACUACUCGCAGAACAACAAGGGGUAGGGUGGCCCUGUAGUGUGUGUGUGGAUGAUGAGAACAAUCUCUGGGUGGGACAAAGUAUCAUCAACACAGUGUACAAGUAUCUACAGUGAACAUUUUAUAUCCAUACAGCAAUUCUUAGGUAAUGUGUGUGUGUUGUGAGACAAUGUAACACCAACACAGUGACAGUAUCUACAGUGAACAUUAUAUCCAUACAUCUUUUAGGUACUGUGUAUAUGUUGUGAGACAAUGUAACCACAACACUGUGAAAGUGUACAAUACCUGGUAUCUACAUUAUACAUUGAUGUACAUAUACAGCAUUCAUGUAAACCCGUGUAUGUUUAUUUGCUAUACAUUGUAUCGGUUUUAUCAAUGAGUAUUUUCCAUUGCUGAUAAAUUGACAAUAAAUAUGUAUUAAC